rnacentral:rRNA from 1 species
AUGCCCAUACUGAAGUUAAGCUACAAACACCUGUCGCCUGAAAUGAAGCAAUGCUUUGCAUUCUGUGCACUUUUCCCCAAGGAUUAUGAGAUGCGUAAGGAUAUGUUGAUCCAACUAUGGAUGGCAAAUGGCUUUAUUCAAGAAGAGGAAACAAUGGAUUUAACAAAGAAAGGAGAAUUCAUUUUUCAAGAAUUGCUUUGGAGGUCCUUCCUGCAAGAAGUGAAAGUCAAAUAUGGUAUCUAUUAUGGUGGCAUAGAAUAUGAGACAAUAGUUUGUAAAAUGCAUGACUUGAUGCAUGAUUUGGCCAGAGAUGUCACCAAUGAAUGUGUCACCAUAGAAGAAUUGAUGGAACAGAAAGCAUUGGUAAAAAAUGCUCGUCACCUGCACUUGUCAAAGGUUAAAUUGGAAAAUAAAUGUCAGGUGUUCGAUGAAAAAACAUCUCUCCGCACUUUGUUAGAUACUUCAAGGACACACGAGGAUUUGAAAUGGCUACCCCAUGUAUCAUUACGAGCACUGCAGAGUGUUUGCACCAGUUUCAUUGACAAAAAUGCAAACCAUUUACGGUAUCUUGACCUCUCCACUUGUACCGUUGAUGCUAGAUUGUUACAUUCAAUAUGUCUAUUGUAUAACCUGCAAACAUUGAGGCUCAAUGAUUGCUCUGAGCUACAACAGUUACCAGUAGACAUGAUGGUAAGCCUGGGAAAGCUCAUACAUCUUUAUCUUUUUGGAUGUCAUAAGUUGGAGCGGAUGCCUCGAAACAUUGGUCAGCUGAACAACCUUCACACUCUAACAACAUUUAUUGUGGAUACUAGAGCUGGUUGUGGUAUUGAGGAGCUCAAAGGCUUGCAACACCUUACCAAUAGGCUGGAACUGUACAAUUUGAGAAAAAUUAAGAGUGUAAAGGAUGCAAAAGAAGCCAAUAUCCAUCAGAAGCAAAAACUGAGUGAGUUAUUGUUCUCUUGGGGCCUUGGAAGAUAUGACAAUCCUGAAAAUGAGGCUUGCAACGAGAAGGAAGUGCUCCAGUCUCUAGAACCUCAUAGCGAGAUGCAAAUUUUGGAGUUAUAUGGAUAUGGUGGCCUAGAAAUACCAAAAUGGAUGAGCGACCAACAGAUGUUUUAUUGCUUACGAAAACUCAUAAUUUUGAACUGGACAAGGUGUAAGAAUAUACCUGCAGUAUGGUUGUCACCCUCACUGGAGUACUUAUCCUUGCGCAACAUGGGUCAACUGAAGACAUUAUGUGAUAACCUUCGCAUAGAAGGUGGAGGACGCAGUACCCCUCUACAGUUUUUUCCAAAGUUGAAGAAGAUAGUUUUGGGACAUCUACGUAGUCUAGAGGGAUGGGCAGAGAACAGUGCGGGAGUGACAUUCCCGGUGCUCGAGGAGGUAGAAAUCCUCAUGUGCUCUAAGCUUCGAAGUAUUCCACUGAGCCCCGUUCUCAAAGUCCUGAACAUAUCGGAUUAUCACCUGGAGAUGGAGAUACAGGAUAUUCCAAGGUUGCCUACAUCCCUUGAAAUUUUGCGGAUUCAGUGCUUUGGAGGUUUGGUGGCGCUGCCUUCAAACCUUGGAGAUCUGGCAAAGCUGAGGGAGCUACUGGUGCAUAGCUGCAGGAGGCUGAAAGAGUUGCCUGAUGGGAUGGAUGGCCUCACUUCUCUUCGGAAAUUGACAAUCACUCAUUGUCCAGGGAUAGAGAAAUUCCCGAAUGGUCUCCUUGAGCGGUUGCCAGCCCUUGAAUCCCUACGCAUAGUGGGCUGCCCCGAGUUGCAAAGACGAUGGAGAGAAGGAGGGGAGUAUUUCAACCACUUGGUCCAUAUCCCAUAUAAAUACAUUGAAGCAGAAUCAGAAGCAAAAUAA